rnacentral:lncRNA from 1 species
GGUGAAAUCUGUUCCUGACCCGCUGCCACUGAACCUGUCUGAGAUCCCAGAGUCCCGGUUGGAAACUGAAUAGAUCAGGAGCUUUGGAGACUGGCCCGGCUUCUGCAGGACUCAGAGAUGACAUUGUUUGUAUUGUGGACAGUAGAACCGUUGACAAAAUCAUUUGCAAGAUGACCAAGAAGAUACUUGUCACAUCCAAACUGAAGAACAAGACGCUUUCUUAGGACCUUAGAAGAUGAACUGUGUGUUGGAAGCAAGGCUGCACACAUCAUCUUUAACAUAAAUCUGAACCAUGGAUAUUAGUCUUCAUCUCCACUGCAUUCCCUGUUGACUUAAGACCUCCUGGACCUUCUGGUUUGCAUGCCAUUGCCUGUUGCAUCUCCCCAGAGUCAACACAUGGUCUCUGCCAGACCACCUCAUGGGCUCAUCAGAUGUGAUCUAAGAAGCCAGGCAGAGGUCUCUUCAACUCUCCGAUUCUUCAUAAGAUACACAGCUGGGCUUCUUUCUGGGUUCACAUCAUCACACCGUAAUCCUACUACCAUCCACAACCCCACCAAACUGGUAUAUAGCGUAAAUUCAAACCCAACUUUUGGAAUUUCAAGAACUCUCUUUUCCUUUCUGCAAAAGGUAAUUGAGACAAAUCAAACACUUUUAGUAUUAAAGUAUUGUAUAUGCUGUGAAUUUGCAGAAGUCUAUCUGAACACUCAAAACCUAAACUUUUGCUAACUGUUCUUAACUAACCUCACUGAGGACAGCUUGUGUAGACUGCAAUCUCCAACAUGGUAAUAGAGUGGAAAGAUAAGAGGUGAAAGUAGAGGUAGGAAGUUGGGAAAGUGGGAAAAUGCCAAUUUCUUCACAUUACCAAAUAUUAUCCUCUAAUAAAUAUACUAAAACUGCUAAACCA